UGCAAAUCGUAACAGCGGUAACGUUAUAACAUGGGUUGUAAUAGUCUGUAAUAGGCCAAAGUCCAUUACUGUCGAUUAAUAAUAAUUUAGGUUAGUGAAUAGCGUUGUCUGGUAACCGCCUGAUUGUGGGAUUUCCCAAGGUGUUUGUAUUAAUCGUAUUAAACGUAAACGUCUUGUCUAUAUCUUGUUCGUAAGUAAAAUGAAUUUUUAUUCAGUAAAUCGAUACAAAAUCAGGCACAAGAAGUUGUAAGAAUUGGCGGACGUACUCCCUACGAAAUUUGUAAAGAGGGUGUUUACAAAAAUUUUGUCGGACGAUAUUUUAGUAAGAUAUAACUGGUUAGAUGCCAAAAAGAAGGAAGUAUUUUGUCAUCUCCAUCUAUCUAGACUGAUAAUAAAUGCUGCUAGAUUAAAUCAAGCAACAUCCAGUUGUUCAAGCAAGAAUCUAGAAGAAGCGAUAAAAAAUUGCGAAGAGCAAAAGAACGGUUAAUCACCAAAAGUAAACGAAAUUCCUUAUUGUAAUAUUAGUACCUUGUAUUUAUCCAUAACAUGUUCAAAUAAGUAUUUUUUUAUUUGUAUGUAAUAAACUAAGAUAGAGAUUUA